UGUAUAUUGCUAACAAAAAAAGGAAAUCUUGUUCUUCUUUUGUUACACAAAAUAUGUGAAUUACAAGUUCAAACCACAAAAAACUCCCACUUUUCUUCGGCUGCACUCAAGCCGGAAACAAUCAUGUGAGGCUAAUUGAGUGCAAAUGUUACCGGUACGCAAAAAUUGCCGAACACUGUACACGUCGCGUCAUCUCACCACUUCAAGUGAUAAAGCGUUCAGCUCAAAAAUCCCAAAAUCAGCCCAAAAUGCGUACACUUUCUGGAUUUUUGUUGCUGUUGGUUGCCUCAACGAUGAUGUUUCUAAAUCAAGUCAGCAUAGCAUAUUGUGAAUUAGUGACUAAACCUCCUUGUAAACCAGACAUGUCAAAUUGGUUCAGUUGUAUCCCUAAAGCUGGUGGUAUGUCUAUACAGAAAUGAAAUUACAACAAAAUGCUAAACAAUGGAAUUUACGGAAAUAAAAUGUAAACUGGGUGUAUUCCGCAGCGCCUAGAUGUAAACACUAAA